rnacentral:rRNA from 1 species
UACGGAGGGUGCAAGCGUUAAUCGGAAUUACUGGGCGUAAAGGGCGCGUAGGCGGCAAUUCAAGUCAUCUGUGAAAUCUCCGGGCUUAACUCGGAAUGGUCAGGUGAUACUGCUUUGCUAGAGUGCAGAAGGGGCAAUCGGAAUUCUUGGUGUAGCGGUGAAAUGCGUAGAUAUCAAGAGGAACACCUGAGGUGAAGACGGGUUGCUGGGCUGACACUGACGCUGAGGCGCGAAAGCUAGGGAGCAAACGGG